UGUUCCUGCAUGGCUAAGUGCCUGGGUUCA
rnacentral:piRNA from 1 species